CUACAGCAGAUAUAACUUGAACGUUUGCUGCUAUUUUCAUAAUUACGCAGCCGUCGAAUUUAAUAAAAGGAUUUCGGGAGUUAGGAUAAUUGAAGUGACGUAAAUGGACGUCUGUAUUUUUAUUUUUUUUUACCGAUGAAAGCUAAAAUUAUAUUCAUUGAUACUUAUUAUUAUUAAUUUUUCCUUAUUGUUAAUAAUAAUUAACAAAACUUUUUUGCUGAUGGCACGGCCUCGCAUCGGCGACGCGUCUACCUUAUCAGCUGUUGAUGAUAGGUUCUGCUCCUACCAUCGUUGUAACGGGUAGCGGGAAAUCAGGGUUCGGUUCCGGAGAGUGGGACUGAGAAACGGCUACCACAUCCAAGGAAGGCAGAAGACGCGCAAAUUACCCAAUCCCGGCACGGAGAGGUAGUGACGGAAAAUAACGAUUUAACGAGGAUCAAUUGGAGGACAAAUCUGGUGCCAGCAGCCACGGUAGUUCCAGCUCCAA
rnacentral:ncRNA from 1 species